rnacentral:rRNA from 1 species
UACAGAGGGUGCAAGCGUUAAUCGGAAUUACUGGGCGUAAAGCGUGCGUAGACGGUUGCGUAAGUCAGAUGUGAAAGCCCCGGGCUCAACCUGGGAAUUGCAUUUGAGACUGCGUAGCUAGGGUGCGGAAGAGGAAAGUGGAAUUCCUGGUGUAGCGGUGAAAUGCGUAGAUAUCGGAAGGAACACCAGUGGCGAAAGCGGCUUCCUGGUCCAGCACCGACGUUCAGGUACGAAAGCAUGGGGAGCAAACAGG